rnacentral:rRNA from 1 species
UGAUUAAGCUACUAAGGGUAUAUGGUGGAUGUCUUGGUACUAAAAGCUGAUGAAGGACGUGGAAGGCUGCGAUAAGCUUCGGAGAGCUGUCAAACAAGCUUUGAUCCGGAGAUUUCCGAAUUGGGAAACCUGUCGUAAAGAAUGAAAUACUUCUUUUUGGUUCAUACCGCGACAUUAUUAUCUGAAUAAAUAGGAUAAUAAAAGGAACGAAGGGAACUGAAACAUCUAAGUACCUUCAGGAAAAGAAAGAAAAAUCGAUUUCCUUAGUAGCGGCGAGCGAAACGGAAAUAGCCUAAACUGGUUGUAUGUGAUAGCCCUUGUGCGUUGUAUAACCAGGGUCGUGGGGUUUACAGUAAGUGAGAUAAGGCUCCUUGGAAAAGGUAUUAUUUUUAGCCGAACAGGCAGGAAAGCCUGGCUUUAAAGGGUGAGAGUCCCGUAGGCGAAAAAAGUAAUAAAUUUUCUUGUAACACCCCAAGUAAUGUCGGUCACGUGGAAGCUGGCAUGAAUUCAGGAGGCCCACCUCCUAAGGCUAAAUACUUUUAGUAACCGAUAGUGGACAAGUAGCGUGAGUGAAAGAUGAAAAGAACCCCUGUUAGGGGAGUGAAAUAGAACCUGAAACCAUAUACUUACAAGCUGUAGGAGCACAAUGAGUAUGUAAUUUAUUAUAUACUACAGGUGUAACUGCGUACCUUUUGCAUAAUGAACCGGCGAGUUGCUAGUUGCAGCAGGUUAAACUUAAAAAAAGUGGAGCCAAAGCGAAAGCGAGUACUAACUGUGCGAUGGUUGCAAAUAGCAGACCCGAAACCGAGUGAUCUACCCUUGGUCAGGAUGAAGUUCCGGUAAGACGGAAUGGAGGUCCGAACGCGUUUACGUUGAAAAGUGAUGCGAUGAACUGAGGGGAGGAGUAAAAGUCUAAUCAAACUCGGAGAUAGCUGGUUCUCCCCGAAAUAGCUUUAGGGCUAGCCUUACGUGAAUUGAUAAUAGGGGUAGAGAUACUGAUUGAGUAUUGGGGCCCACCAGGCUACCAAACACAACCAAACUCCGAAUACUAUUAUUUUCUGCGUAGGAGUCAGACUAUGGGGGAUAAGCUCCGUAGUCAAGAGGGAAACAGCCCAGAUCAUUAGUUAAGGUCCUUAAAAUGAGCUAAGUGAAAAAGGAAGUGGAAGUGCAAAGACAGCUAGGAUGUUGGCUUAGAAGCAGCAACCAUUUAAAAAGUGCGUAAUAGCUUACUAGCCGAGUACUUUUGCGCCGAAAAUCAGCGGGACUAAGCUCAUUACCGAAACUGUGAAUCCUAAUUUAUUAGGGUGGUAGGGGAGCGUUCUAUUAUAGGUUGAAGCCUUACUGUAAAGAGAGGUGGACGAAAUAGAAGUGAGAAUGCCGGUAUAAGUAGCGAUAAUAUAAGUGAGAAUCUUAUUCGCCGAAAGCCUAAGGUUUCCUGGGGAAGGCAAAUCCGCCCAGGGUUAGCCGGUGCCUAAGUUGAGGUCGAAAGGCGUAAACGAUGGACAACAGGUUAAUAUUCCUGUGCCACCAUUAUAGCGUUUGAGCAUGGGAGGACGGGAACGUGAAGAUUAGCAAGCCCACUAGACAUGGUUUGUUUAAACCGGAGGUACUGCUUCAGGCAAAUCCGAAGCAAUAAAGUGCCGAAGGUGAUGACGUUGGCUUUAAGCCUAGAAGUAAUCCGAUCGUUCUCCAAGAAAAAUCUCGUUAGCGAGCUAUUUUGGUGACCGUACUAAAACUGACACAGGUAGGCUGGGAGAGAAUCCUAAGGCGCUCGAGAGAACCCUCGUUAAGGAACUCGGCAAAAUUGCUCCGUAACUUCGGGAUAAGGAGUGCCUUUUUGAUAGAGGUAUUUAUAUCGAUAUUAAAAAGGCCGCAGUGAAAAUGUCCGGGCGACUGUUUACUAAAAAACACAGGUCUCUGCUAAGAUGUAUAAUUGACGUAUAGAGACUGACGCGUGCUCGAUGCCAGAAAGUUAAGGGGAUAGGUUAUUUGUCGAGUAAUCGAUAAAGAAGCUUAGAACUUAAGCUCUGGUGAAUGGCGGCUCUAACUAUGAGAGUCCUAAGGUAGCGAAGUUCCUUGUCGGGUAAUUUCCGACGCGCAUGAAUCGCGUAACGACUUGGACACUGUCUCAACGAGGGACUCGGCGAAAUUGUAGUUGUGGUGAAGAUACCACAUACCCGUGGAAAGACGGAAAGACCCCGUGAACCUUUACUGUAGCUUAUUAUUGGAUUUUGGUACAGUCCGUGUAGGAUAGGUGGGAGGCUAUGAAGUUUUGACGUAAGUUAAAAUGGAGCCGCUGGUGAAAUACCACUCUUACUAUGCUAAAAUUCUAACAGAUUACCGUGAAGCCGGUUUCUGGACAGUGUUAAGUGGGCAGUUUGACUGGGGCGGUCUCCUCCAAAAAAGUAACGGAGGAGUCCAAAGGCUUCCUCAGUGCGCUUGGCAACCGCAUGUAGAGUGUAAAGGCAUAAGGAAGCUUAACUGCGAGACAUAUAGGUCAAGCAGGUGUGAAAGCAGGGCUUAGUGAUCCGGCGGUGCUGUGUGGAAAGGCCGUCGCUCAACAGAUAAAAGGUACUCCGGGGAUAACAGGCUGAUCUCCCCCGAGCGUUCAUAGCGGCGGGGAGGUUUGGCACCUCGAUGUCGGCUCAUCGCAUCCUGGGGCUGGAGAAGGUCCCAAGGGUUUGGGAGUUCACCAAUUAAAGCGAUACGCGAGCUGGGUUUAGACCGUCGUGAGACAGGUCGGUCCCUAUCUUCCAUGGGCGUACGAUAUUUGAGAAAAUCUGCCUCUAGUACGAGAGGAUCGAGGUGGACGAACAUAUGGUGAUUCAGUUGUUGUGCUAGCAGCAUAGCUGAGUAGCUAAGUUCGGAACGGAUAAACGCUGAAAGCAUAUAAGCGUGAAGCCUAUUUCAAGACUAGAUAUCGUUCUUCGAUUUAUCGGAGAGAAGACACCUUAAAGACUAUGAGGUUGAUAGGCCAGAGGUGUAAGUUUGGUAACAAACUAGCUAACUGGUACUAAUUUGUCGAAAAGCUUGAUCAC